AGCCAAGCCAAGAAGCCAAAGGCAGGACCUGAAGCUGAAGCCAUGGGAGAGCGCUAUUCACAGGCUUGUCCCUCCUGACUUGUUCAGCCUGCAUUUUUUUUAUUAACUUGUGUAUUUCUUAUUUACAUUUCGAUUGUUAUUCCCUUUUCCAGUUUGGUUUCAGGGCCAACAUCCCCCUAGCUCCUUCUCCUCCCCUUCUAUUGGGUGUUCCCCUCCCCAUCCUCCCUCCAUUACUGCCCUCCCCCCAACAAUCAUGUUCACUAGGGGUUCAGUCUUAGCAGGAUCAAGGGCUUCUCCUUCCACUGGUGCUCUUACUAGGCAGUUCAUUGCUACCUAUGAGGUGGAGCCCAGGGUCAGUCUAUGUAUAUAGUCUUUGGGUAGUGGCUUAGUCCCUGGAAGCUCUGGUUGCUUGGCAUUGUUGUUCAUAUGGGGUCUCGAGCCCCUUCAAGCUCUUACAGUCCUUUCUCUGAUCCCUUCAGCUUCUUAGUGAUAGAUUUUAUAUACAUUCAUAAAAUGUAUGGUGUUUGGAGUCUCACAUGAUGGGUAAUAAUUAGUUCAGUGUAGUUAACAUAUCUGUCACUUGUACGACUUCAAAUUGUUAACACAUUAAAAAUCUUUUCUUUAGCUCUUUUGAGAUACAUAAUGCAUUGUUAUUCAUUGUAUUUCCCUGCUACACCAUAGAACACUUAAAUUUCUUCUUCUACACUUAAGUUUACCAAAGGGUCCUCCUUUCUCCAACUUCAUUCUCCACUCUCUCCAAUCUCUUUUAACCAUUAGUGUACUAUGGAUUUGUAUGAUUUCAUUAGAGUUGUAUUAGAGUUGAUCAUAUAUUAUCUAUAUGUCUGAACAUGGCUUAUUACACAUGACAGGAAUCUAAGCAUGUUUAUGGUUAAACUGUAUUCUAUACAACCCCCCUUUUUUAUCAGUCUAUCAAUGCAUCCCCUGAUGCUUUCUUUGUGUGUGUGUAUGUGUAUAUAUUCAUGCUGCUGUUAGGGCCCAUUUCCAAAUAGUUCGCACUUUUAAACAUAGAAAUGAUAAACAUUUCUCUAAUUUAUAAAUGGUUCUAAUUGCAAAACUGAAAGUCAUUCAAUUAUAUAAGUUCUAUUUUGUUUUUAGUCACUGAUUGGUAUUUGUAGAACUAAUUAUGUAGGGCUUUUUGUCUGCAUACACUCUAGCUUAUUUCUCGUAAUAUUCUAUGUGAUUCACAUAUUCUUCACGCCUUAACUUUCAGGUCUUCUUUCUGGUGUCUGGAAGUCUAGUGUCCAAUGUAAUGGUAUUGAUGAGUGGAAGACAUUAAAGAGGCACAUUAGACAUCACAGAUCUGUUGUGCUUUGCCUUGGAGUUAUUUGUAUUUUGAUGCUAUUUCCACUGCCCCAAGGACAGCUGCCUAGUCAGUACUCUGGAAUCAGGCGACUUCACCAAUACCUUCUCCCCAUUGAAUUUGUAAAAUGCAGACCAGUGAAUUCCUUUGCAUGGCCUUACCAUCUCUUCCAGAGCUCUAUAAGAGGCAGGGCAUGAUUUUCACCAAACACCAGGCAGAUUUUCUCCUUUAUCUAUAAAAGCUAUUGGACUGAUGGAUUUGUUGGUGAAAUUAAAGGUAAAUAAGAAAUAAAGUAGGCUUCAGAACUAAUUUCAUCGAUGAAUUAAUUUAAGUAAUUCAAAUGAACAGAAGAGUUUUCAUGUGCAUGCAAUGUGAUUUAGAAAUACAAAUUUAAUAUUUAUACUAAUCUCUUAAAUAUUGGAAUAUUUCAGUGUUUAAGACUAGACUAAGACGUAUUUUUCAAUCCUUUAGUUACCUGUUGUAUAAAACUUCAUCUGUCAAUGCAAGAAUGCAACAUUACCACCUGCUAAGUUUUAAUCAUUAAGACUGUGAUGGAGAGUAUAGUCUGCUAAUUUAUGUAAAAUGCUCCAAUAGCAGAGAUAACUAACUCCUUUUAACAUUUUGUCAUUAAUUAAAAUAGAUUUUUUAAUUACCACCAAAAAGCUUUGUAAUUAGUAGCAUCUAGCUAUUUAACCAGUGACCUCAAGCUUUCUAAUUGACAUAACACCUAAAAAUUACUCAGAGCUUGUUGGAGUGCUAUUUCUUAUCACCAGAUCAUGUCAGAAUCCCACUGGCUUUGGUGUAGAAGAAUUUGUGAAAUCUUUCAAGGAAGGUCUGUGGCCCAGUGCUUUUCAUACACUUUUAUCUGCCUUUGUAUCUGCUAGUAAAAGGAGGUUGACCAAGAAGAGUUUGAGAAGUAAAUUAACAUGUUUUAUAGGAUCCUGGAUUGAGGAAAGAAACAAAUAGUUUUAUAUAUUUUACAUACCAUAUUUUUAUCCUCAUGGAAAAUUAUAAACAGUGAAUUUUCAACAGCACUUCAUUUUCAAUGAUAAAAAUGGCAAAUUAUAAGAAGUUUAAAUGCUGACGUCAUCCCCAUUGGCUCCUGGAAGCCUCUUGCUUCUCUGACAUCUAGGACUUUCUGGUAGCUAUUACAAGUUCCACAUUAUGCACUGCUACACACCUCUGUUCAAUUUCUUGGCACUCAGUAAAUUUCCCCCAUCUCCUCCCAUACCCGAUCCUGCCCCACUUUUCCCUCUAUAUCCCUUCUUCCUCCCAAUCCCCUCCUUCUCUAUCUUCAUUGAUUAUUUUGUUCCUCCUUCUAAGUAGGACUGAAGCAUCCACACUUAGGUCUUUCUUCUUCUUGACAUUUCUAUGGUCUGUGAGUUAUAGCACGGUUGUUUCGAGGUUUUGCCUAAUAUUUUCUUAUCAGUGAGUGCACACAUUAUUCUUUUGUGAUUGGUUUACCUCACUCAGGAUGGUAUUUCCUAGUUCCAUUUGGCUAAGAAUUUCAUGAAAACAUUGUUUUUAAUAGAUGAGUCAUACUCCAUGUGUACUCAUUUUCUGUAUCCAAGCCACUGUUGAGGGACAUCUGGGUUGUCUCCACUUUCUGCCUACUAUACAUAAGGCUGCUAUGAACACAUGAAGAAAAGAGAACCUAUAAAGACAACAUCCAGAGAUUUCCCUGGUUGAGGGAAAGGUCAACCCACCCAUCUCAAAAAUAUUAACCCAUAAUUGCUCCUGUCUUGGGGAAAACAGGGACAAAGAGUGGAACAGAGAAUGAAGGAAAGGGCAUUCACAGACUGUCCACUUGGCGACACAUCCCAUAUGCAGACACCGGACAAAGGCAGUAUUGCUAAUGCCAAGAAAUAUUUGCUGACAGUAGCUUGAUAUAGCUGUCUACUGAGAGACUUUGUUAGAGCUUUACAAAUACAGACGCAGAUGCCUACAGCCAACCAUCAGACUGAGCAUGAGAAUCCCAAUGGAGGAGUUAGGGGAAGGACUGAAAGAGCUGCAAGGGUUUGCAAUCCUGUAGGAAAAACAACUAUAUCAACCAACCAAACCUCUAGAUCCCAAGGACAAAGCCACCAACCAAAGAAUACAAAUGUAGGGAUUCAGCUGCUUAUGUAGCAGAGGAUGGCCUAAUCUGGCAUCAGUGGAAAGGGAGGCCCUUGUUCCUUUGAAGGCUUGAUGACCCAAUGUAGGGGAAUGCUAAGGUGGUGGUAAGGCAGGAGUGGGUGAGUAUGGAAACACCUUCAUAGAAUCAGGGGAAGGGACAUGGGACAGAGGGUUUGUGGAGGAACUCUCUUGUGGAAGAGAGACAACAUUCAAAAUGUAAGUAAAUAAAAUAACCAAGAAAAAAGAAGUUUCAAUGCCCAGAAGUUGAAUUUUAAAAGAGCUAGGCAUAAUAGUUUUUAUUAAUAAUCCUAUUUCAUAAAAGGAGAAUCCACAAAGAUUUUCAAGAGUUUAAUGUCAACAUAGACAGUAAAUUCAGAUUAUACCCUUCCCUAAAUUAGUCCAGAUUAUAUUUGCAAAUGACUUUUUAGAAUAAACUUUUCCCUGAGAUAACACAGCUUACUCUGAGCAUUUGACUUUAUUUUGACUACAAACUUAAAGGAGGACUAUAUUCUUUGGUGGGAAAACAAACAAUUCUAUAUGUCUGACAUAGUCUAUGUAUGACUCACAGACUGAUAAGUAACUUAUUUCUGAAAAUGAAAAGAUAUCACACUAUCAAUUUAUUUAAAAAUUUGGAGUAUUUGCAAAAAUAAGUGUAGUAAAAUCACAGCCACAAAAAAAAAAAAGGGUGAGAACUUAACGAGCCCACUAGACAAGGGUAGCAACCUCCAGAUGAAGAUAUAACAGUGUGAUUAUGAUGGACCACAUCAGCCUGUCAUUGAAUCACCUAGUGUAUGUUUCACAGGAACACAUGAGCAGAAAUUUUGACUGUCCCAGAAGCUUCAUUAAGCCUCUGUCUUCAUUACUAGUAUGGAUUAUACAAAUUGUUUUUCAUCCAUCCCUCAGCUCAUCUGUCUUGGUUUGAAAAUUGCCCUUUCCUUGGAGUUGACAGAUAAUGCCUGAGUCACUUGACUGAAGAAAAAUGAAUUUCCCUGUCCUAGCAGGCAUCACAUUUUAAGUAGCUUCUUGGCUGGGGGUGGGGAUUUGGUCCCACUUAUUCAACUCAUUGCUCAGGUUUUACCUGUUUGAACUUAAGCUGGUCUUGUGCAUCAUGAGACUUUUCUUUUCUUUUCUUUUCUUUUUUCCCCUUAUGUUGUUGUGGAAUUGCUUUUAUUUUGUAGCAGAGCAUGCCACCUCUUUAAUGUCUGAUGAUUUCACAGUAACUUUUCACAGAGCACAGUACAAUUCUUUACAGUAGGAAGAAACUCACUUUAAUAAGACACUACACAAACACAGAACAAUGUGUAUUGCUUUAGGUUACUCUCUUUGCUAAUAACCAGAAGAGUGUUUCUUUUUCCCCAUGUACAGUUAGCUUUAAACAUCCUAGGUGUUACCUCUAGGAUAUUUUUAAAUUUUGUAUUUAUUUUUACACUCCAGAUUUUAUUUCCUUCCUGACCCAGUUCCACAUCCCAUAUGCUCCCACCCCCAUCCCACUCCCAUCUCCAGAAGUAUGUCCCCAACCACUCAUCUUACCAUACCUCUCAACGUCCUGGGACCAUCUUCUCUGUACCCAGACCCAGGAGUCUUCUGCUGCAUGUGUAUUAUGGGCUUCUCAUAUCAGCUGGUAAAUGCUCCCUGGUUGAUGAUCUAGUGUCUGAGAGAUCUCGGGGGUCCAGGUUAAUUGAGAUAGCUGGUCCUCCUACAGGGUGGCCUUCUUCCUCAGCUUCCUCCAGCUUUUCCAGAAUUCAGUAGAGGGGUCAGCAGCUUCCAUUCAUUGGGUGGGUGCACAUACCUGCAUCUGACUCUUUCAGCUGCUUGCUAGGUCUUUCAGAGGGCAGUCACGAUAAGUCCCUUUUUGUGAGUACUCCAUAGCCUCAGUAAUUGUUAGGUUUUGGUGCCUCCCCCUUCAGCUGGAUUCCACUUUGGGCCUGUUGCUGAACCUUCUUUUCCUAAGGCUCUUCUCCAUUUCCAUCCCUGCAUUUCUUUCAGACAAGAAGAAUUAUGGGUCAGAGUUUUAACUGUGGGAUAGCAAUCCUAUUCCUCACUUGGUGUCCUGUCUUUCUACUGGAGGUUGGCUCAACAAGUUCCCUCUCCCAACUAUAGGGCAUUUUUUCAUCUAGGGUCUCCCACUUUGAGUCCUGAGAGUCUCCCACUUCCCAGGUCUUUGGUAUAUUCUGGAGGGUCCUCCCAACCUCUUUCCUCCGAAGGUUGCUUGGUUCCUUUGUUUCUGCUGGCUCUCAGGUCUUCAGUAGUUUUCUCCCACUCAAUACCAGAUCACAUUCCUCUCUCCCUGAGCCCAUGCCCUUUUCCUUCCCCUUUCCACUCUCCCUUCUCCCUUGUUGCUUUCUUCUCCUUCCAAGGGGGAAUGAGGUGUCCUCACUUGGGCUCUUCAACUUGUUGAACUUUUGAAUUCUGUUGACUGUACCUUGGGUAUUCUGUAAUUUUUUUAGGUGGGGCUAGUAUCCACCUAUUAGUGAGAACAUACCAUGGAUGUGCAUGUCCUUUUGGGUCUGAAUUUCCUCAUUCAGGAUGAUAUUUUCUAGUUCUGUCCACUUGCCUGCAAAAUUCAGUACAUCCUCCUCCUUAAUAGCUGAGUAGUAUUCCAUUGUGCAAAUGAACCACAUUUCCUGUAUCCAUUUUUUUUGUCCUGGGACAUAUGGGUUGUUUCCAGCUUCUACCUAUCACAAAUAAGGCUGUUAUGAGACUUUCAAAACAAACUAAAAUUCUCUCUAUCUUUAUCCUUCACAAAUGGCUUUUGAGAAUUCCAUUACUACCUCUUUUAACUGUUUGGGACUGCUCUGUAGUCUACACACAACAUAUAUUUGGCCCAUAGUUUACCUUAGAACAUCAAUCAUUCAAUUUUAAAAGUUGGAAAUUAGUUCCCAGAUUUUUGUAAACAUACCUAAAUGGUGAGUUCUUUUGCUUUAUUGUUUUAAUAUUUUUCUAACAAAUUGCUUUUGUCUUAAGUUCCCUAUUUUGUUGUCAUCAUAAUGACUAUUAUAGGGGAUAAUAUCUACUAAAGUAUAUUAAUCUCAAAAAGUGUGUGGCUCAUAGCAAACUCUUAUACAAAAAUGAGAUAUACAUUUAAUAAUGCUUUCAUUGAACAAAUAGAAACAUUUUAAAUUAUUAAUACUCCUAAAAUAAUUGUAGGUAAUGUAAAGAUGUUAAUAUUUGGCUAACUUUAUCUGGAAACUUUAUGUGUACAGCUUAAUUUUUCUAUUAGGUGCAACUUUCUCUUUACAAUAUUUUAUUGUGAUGAAUAUAUUUUUAAUUGAGCAAAUGCAUAUCCAAUGUACAUGUAUGUGGCUAGAAAGUAUAUUACAUUUGUUAGAAUGAUUCAUCAGUAGGAACCUCUUGACUAUCAGGUUUAGUGUAAAAAGUGAUAAGUACCCAAAUCUGAAAAUACUGGCUUUUAAAGCACACAAGGGAAGCUGUAAAAUCCCAGCUUCCAGGUGGGAGAACAGCAAUUCAAAUAUUUAUUAGUCCAGCUUCCUAACCUCUGAAACUUUAAAGGAGAGUUGUGCUAUUUAAUGUGUUUUUAUUUUCCUCAGUGGGAAAGUACAUUCUGCUAUCAUUGAAACUCAAGAUUUCUUAAAAAAUUCCUCUUUGUACCCAGGAUGAGUCUGAUAUUCACACUUUUAUAAAGGAAUAUGUGAAGCAAGAGACCAAUCUUUGUGUAUAAAGAAUUGUUUCUUUUAUGGAGAAAAAUAUUUUAAGAGAACCACUGAAUUCAUGUCACCAUGCUAAGUUCUCUUAGUAUAUGACUUCUCUGUCAUUUUCUUAAUUAUUAAGCAGACAUAAAUCAUACUUAUCACUAUUAUGUGCCAAUAGUUGUUCUAGACAUUUUGUGCAUUAAAAUGUUUGAAAUAUCCUUCAAGUAUUACCUGGUUACCCCUUUUUUUCUUUCAGAUGAACCCAAUAUGCUAAAAAUCACAGUCUUUAUAGUAUACUUUGUCUUAAAAUCUAUUGAAAUAAAAUAUGUACAUGGCUUCAAA